CUGUUAAACGGUCUGCAUGACCUUAAAUUUUUACGAACCAUUCUCAGUGCCACAACAUCAAACAAAUGGAUAACUAAAUUAUCUAUAACAUUAGCCAAAAGAUCUGAAAUAUUUUUGAAUAUAAUAACAUGAUUAGAUGCACAAACAAGGGAGGGGAGAGACAGACAGAGAGAAACUAAGCAGAUACACUGUACCAUGAGAACAAUGGUAAACAAUCUUGACAAAGGGCAACCUAUUUCCCAUAUAGAUUUUAGCUCACGCCCCUUGAAAUCCCAAACCU
rnacentral:lncRNA from 1 species